GAUGAACGCUGGCGGCGUGCCUAAUACAUGCAAGUCGAGCGAAUGGAUUAAGAGCUUGCUCUUAUGAAGUUAGCGGCGGACGGGUGAGUAACACGUGGGUAAUCUGCCCAUAAGACUGGGAUAACUCCGGGAAACCGGGGCUAAUACCGGAUAACAUUUUGAACCGCAUGGUUCGAAAUUGAAAGGCGGCUUCGGCUGUCACUUAUGGAUGGACCCGCGUCGCAUUAGCUAGUUGGUGAGGUAACGGCUCACCAAGGCAACGAUGCGUAGCCGACCGGAGAGGGUGAUCGGCCACACUGGGACUGGGACACGGCCCAGACUCCUACGGGAGGAAGCAGUAGGGAAUCUUCCGCAAUGGACGAAAGUCUGACGGAGCAACGCCGCGUGAGUGAUGAAGGCUUUCGGGUCGUAAAACUCUGUUGUUAGGGAAGAACAAGUGCUAGUUGAAUAAGCUGGCACCUUGACGGUACCUAACCAGAAAGCCACGGCUAACUACGUGCCAGCAGCCGCGGUAA
rnacentral:rRNA from 1 species